AUUGAACGCUGGCGGCAUGCCUUACACAUGCAAGUCGAACGGCAGCACGGGUGCUUGCACCUGGUGGCGAGUGGCGAACGGGUGAGUAAUACAUCGGAACAUGUCCUGUCGUGGGGGAUAGCCCGGCGAAAGCCGGAUUAAUACCGCAUACGAUCAACGGAUGAAAGCGGGGGACCUUCGGGCCUCGCGCUAUAGGGUUGGCCGAUGGCGGAUUAGCUAGUUGGUGGGGUAAAGGCCUACCAAGGCGACGAUCAGUAGCUGGUCUGAGAGGACGACCAGCCACACUGGGACUGAGACACGGCCCAGACUCCUACGGGAGGCAGCAGUGGGGAAUUUUGGACAAUGGGCGAAAGCCUGAUCCAGCAAUGCCGCGUGUGUGAAGAAGGCCUUCGGGUUGUAAAGCACUUUUGUCCGGAAAGAAAUCCUUGGCCCUAAUACGGUCGGGGGAUGACGGUACCGGAAGAAUAAGCACCGGCUAACUACGUG
rnacentral:rRNA from 1 species